rnacentral:rRNA from 1 species
CGAAGGUGCAAGCGUUAAUCGGAAUUACUGGGCGUAAAGCGCGCGUAGGUGGUUCGUUAAGUUGGAUGUGAAAGCCCCGGGCUCAACCUGGGAACUGCAUCCAAAACUGGCGAGCUAGAGUAUGGCAGAGGGUGGUGGAAUUUCCUGUGUAGCGGUGAAAUGCGUAGAUAUAGGAAGGAACACCAGUGGCGAAGGCGACCACCUGGGCUAAUACUGACACUGAGGUGCGAAAGCGUGGGGAGCAAACAGGAUU